rnacentral:rRNA from 1 species
ACGCUGGCGGCACGCCUUAUACAUGCAAGUCGAACGAAGUAGUAAUACUUAGUGGCAGACGGGUGAGUAACAUGUGGGUAUCUUCCCUUUGGUGAGGAAUAACACGAGGAAACUUGUGCUAAUACCUCAUAAGUCUUUACGGAGAAAGCUUUAUGCGCCAUUGGAUGAGCCUGCACUUGAUUAGUUAGUUGGUGGGGUAAAGGCCUACCAAGACUUUGAUCAAUAGCUGAUUUGAGAGGAUGAUCAGCCACAUUGGGACUGAGACACGGCCCAAACUCCUACGGGAGGCAGCAGUAAGGAAUCUUGCACAAUGGAGGAAACUCUGAUGCAGCGAUGCCGCGUGAGUGAAGAAGGCCUUUGGGUUGUAAAGCUCUUUCGUCGGGGAAGAAAAUGACUGUACCCGAAUAAGAAGGUCCGGCUAACUUCGUGCCAGCAGCCGCGGUAAUACGAAGGGACCUAGCGUAGUUCGGAAUUACUGGGCUUAAAGAGUUCGUAGGUGGUUAAAAAAGUUGGUGGUGAAAUCCCAGAGCUUAACUCUGGAACUGCCAUCAAAACUUUUUAGCUAGAGUUUGAUAGAGGAAAGCAGAAUUUCUAGUGUAGAGGUGAAAUUCGUAGAUAUUAGAAAGAAUACCAAUUGCGAAGGCAGCUUUCUGGAUCAUUACUGACACUGAGGAACGAAAGCAUGGGUAGCGAAGAGGAUUAGAUACCCUCGUAGUCCAUGCCGUAAACGAUGUGUGUUAGACGUUGGAAAUUUAUUUUCAGUGUCGCAGCGAAAGCGAUAAACACACCGCCUGGGGAGUACGACCGC